rnacentral:rRNA from 2 species
ACGACUCUCGGCAACGGAUAUCUCGGCUCUCGCAUCGAUGAAGAACGCAGCGAAAUGCGAUACUUGGUGUGAAUUGCAGGAUCCCGCGAACCAUCGAGUCUUUGAACGCAAGUUGCGCCCGAAGCCUUUCGGCCGAGGGCACGCCUGCCUGGGUGUCACUCAACUGUCGCCCCAACCCCCUUCUGACAGGAGGGA